UACAGAGGGUGCGAGCGUUAAUCGGAAUUACUGGGCGUAAAGCGUGCGUAGGUGGUUAGAUAAGUCAGAUGUGAAAGCCCUGGGCUUAACCUGGGAAUUGCGUUUGGUACUGUCUGGCUAGAGUAUGGGAGAGGGAAGUGGAAUUUCCGGUGUAGCGGUGAAAUGCGUAGAUAUCGGAAGGAACACCAGUGGCGAAGGCGGCUUCCUGGACCAUUACUGACACUGAGGUACGAAAGCGUGGGGAGCGAACAGG
rnacentral:misc_RNA from 1 species